GCUGGGCGGCAUGCCUAACACAUGCAAGUCGAACGAGACCUUCGGGUCUAGUGGCGCGACGGGUGCGUAACGCGUGGAACCUGCCUUUAGGUUCGGAAUAACUCAGAGAAAUUUGAGCUAAUACCGGAUAAUGUCUCGGACCAAAGAUUUAUCGCCUUUAGAUGGGCCCGCGUUGGAUUAGCUAGUUGGUGGGGUAAAGGCCUACCAAGGCGACGAUCCAUAGCUGGUCUGAGAGGAUGAUCAGCCACACUGGGACUGAGACACGGCCCAGACUCCUACGGGAGGCAGCAGUGGGGAAUAUUGGACAAUGGGGCGAAAGCCUGAUCCAGCAAUGCCGCGUGAGUGAUGAAGGCCUUAGGGUUGUAAAGCUCUUUUACCCGAGAUGAUAAUGACAGUAUCGGGAGAAUAAGCUCCGGCUAACUCCGUG
rnacentral:rRNA from 1 species